UACAGAGGGGGCAAGCGUUGUUCGGAAUUACUGGGCGUAAAGGGCUCGUAGGCGGCCAACUAAGUCGGAUGUGAAAUCCCCAGGCUUAACCUGGGAACUGCAUCCGAUACUGGAUGGCUUGAAUCCGGGAGAGGGAUGCGGAAUUCCAGGUGUAGCGGUGAAAUGCGUAGAUAUCGAGAGGAAUACCUGUGGCGAAGGCGGCCAACUGGACGAGUACUGACACUGAGACACGAAAGCGUGGGGAGCAAACAGG
rnacentral:rRNA from 1 species